UGGGGAAUUUUGGACAAUGGGCGAAAGCCUGAUCCAGCAAUGCCGCGUGUGUGAAGAAGGCCUUCGGGUUGUAAAGCACUUUUGUCCGGAAAGAAAUCCUUGGCUCUAAUACAGUCGGGGGAUGACGGUACCGGAAGAAUAAGCACCGGCUAACUACGUGCCAGCAGCCGCGGUAAUACGUAGGGUGCAAGCGUUAAUCGGAAUUACUGGGCGUAAAGCGUGCGCAGGCGGUUUGCUAAGACCGAUGUGAAAUCCCCGGGCUCAACCUGGGAACUGCAUUGGUGACUGGGCAGGCUAGAGUAUGGCAGGAGGGGGGUAGAAUUCCACGUGUGAGCAGUGAAAGUGCGUAGAGAUGUGGAGGAAUACCGAUGGCGAAGGCAGCCCCUGGGCCAAUACUGACGCUCAUGCACGAAAGCGUGGGG
rnacentral:rRNA from 1 species